rnacentral:lncRNA from 1 species
ACGGCAUUGCCUUUGUGAUAUCGCCAACUCCACACUUUGAAGGCGCCAUUGCAACUCAGUACCUCGGUCUGUUCAACUCCACCACGAUCGGACUUCAAUCCAACCACGUGAUUGCUGUGGAGCUUGACACGGUUCAGAACCCUGAGUUUGGAGAUAUCAACAGCAACCAUGUUGGUAUAGACAUCAACAACUUAACAUCCAUUCAAUCUGCUAAUGCUGCAUACUUCACCGAAGGUGAAGAAAAGGAACUCGAGCUCAUCAGUGGAGAUCCUAUCCAGGUAUGGAUAGAUUACACAGCAAGUAACAAGGAGUUAAACGUAACACUUGCUCCAGUAAGAACAAGCAAACCAGAGAAGCCGCUACUGUCAACAACCGAUCUUAAUAUAGACGUACCGGAUCGAAUGUACGUUGGUUUCUCAUCAUCUACAGGCUCAAUAGCUAGCCACCACUACAUACUCGGAUGGAGCUUGGAUUUAACUGGAAGCCAGGCUCGAGAUCUCGACAUCUCGAACCUGCCAUCACUUCCACCAGAGAGAAACUCAGGAAACAGAUCGUCAGCAAACUUGAAGAUUCUACUUCCUGUGGUGAUCACAAUUCUACUAAUCACAUCCAUUGCACUUACAGUCUACUUCACAAGGAAGAGAUACGAAGAACUCCACGAAGAUUGGGAAGAACAGUACGGUCCACAGAGAUUCUCCUACAGAGAUCUACACAAAGCAACCAAAGGAUUCAAUCAGAUUUUGGGAGCAGGAGGAUUCGGAAAGGUUUACAAAGGAACAUUACAUCCUUCUUCUUCUUCUACUUCUUUUUCUAGCUCUAUUACCUCGGAUGCUGAAAUAGCAGUGAAGAAGAUCUCACACGAUUCGCGGCAGGGAAUGAGGGAGUUUGUAGCCGAGAUCGCGACCAUGGGAAGGCUACGUCACCGGAACUUAGUCCAGCUGCUAGGAUACUGCCGGAGGAAGGGCGAGC